rnacentral:rRNA from 1 species
AGAGUUUGAUCCCGGCUCAGAAUCAACGCUGGCGGCGCGCCUAACACAUGCAAGUCGAACGAGAAAGCCCGCAAGGGUAAGUAAAGUGGCGUACGGGUGAGUAACACGUGGAUCAUCUACCUUCUAGUGGGGAAUACCUUUGGGAAACCGAAGACAAUACCGCAUAAGCUCGAGAGAGGAAAGCAGCAAUGCGCUGGAAGAGGAGUCCGCGGUCGAUUAGUUAGUUGGCGGGGUAAAGGCCCACCAAGACUGUGAUCGAUAGCCGGCCUGAGAGGGCACACGGCCACACUGGCACUGAAACACGGGCCAGACUCCUACGGGAGGCAGCAGUGGGGAAUAUUGCACAAUGGGGGAAACCCUGAUGCAGCGACGCCGCGUGAGCGAUGAAGCCCUUCGGGGUGUAAAGCUCUUUCGGCAGGGACGAUUAUGACGGUACCUGCAGAAGCAGCUGCGGCUAACUACGUGCCAGCAGCCGCGGUAAUACGUAGGCAGCAAGCGUUGUUCGGAAUUACUGGGCGUAAAGGGUGCGUAGGCGGCUUUUUAAGUUUGUUGUGAAAUCUCCCGGCUCAACUGGGAGGGUGCGGCGAAUACUGAGAAGCUAGAGUGUGGGAGAGGAAAGUGGAAUUCCUGGUGUAGCGGUGAAAUGCGUAGAUAUCAGGAGGAACACCGGUGGUGUAAACGGCUUUCUGGACCAUAACUGACGCUGAGGCACGAAAGCGUGGGUAGCAAACAGGAUUAGAUACCCUGGUAGUCCACGCCCUAAACGAUGCAUAUUUGGUGUGGGCCAUUCAUUUGGUCCGUGCCGGAGCUAACGCGUUAAAUAUGCCGCCUGGGGAGUGCAGUCGCAAGGCUGAAACUCAAAGGAAUUGACGGGGGCCCGCACAAGCGGUGGAGCAUGUGGUUUAAUUCGAUGCAACGCGAAGAACCUUACCGCCCCUUGACAUCCCUGGAAUCCUUUAGAGAUAGAGGAGUGCCUUCGGGAGCCAGGAGACAGGUGCUGCAUGGCUGUCGUCAGCUCGUGUCGUGAGAUGUUGGGUUAAGUCCCGUAACGAGCGCAACCCUUGUCCUUAGUUGCCAGCACGUAAUGGUGGGAACUCUAAGGAGACUGCCGGUGACAAACCGGAGGAAGGUGGGGACGACGUCAAGUCAUCAUGGCCCUCACGGGGCGGGCUACACACGUGCUACAAUGGCCGGUACAAACGGUUGCAAACUCGCGAGGGGGAGCCAAUCCGAGAAAACCGGUCGUAGUCCGGAUUGCAGUCUGCAACUCGACUGCAUGAAGUCGGAAUCGCUAGUAAUCGCAGAUCAGCAUGCUGCGGUGAAUACGUUCCCGGGCCUUGUACACACCGCCCGUCACACCAUGGGAGUCUGUUGCACCAGAAGUAGCUAGCUUAACCGAAAGGAGGGCGGUUACUACGGUGUGGCCGAUGACUGGGGUGAAGUCGAAACAAGGUA